UAGGGAAUCUUCCACAAUGGACGAAAGUCUGAUGGAGCAACGCCGCGUGAGCGAAGAAGGUUUUCGGAUCGUAAAGCUCUGUUGCGAGGGAAGAACAAGUACGGGAGUAACUGCCCGUACCUUGACGGUACCUCGUCAGAAAGCCACGGCUAACUACGUGCCAGCAGCCGCGGUAAUACGUAGGUGGCAAGCGUUGUCCGGAAUUAUUGGGCGUAAAGCGCGCGCAGGCGGUCCUUUAAGUCUGAUGUGAAAGCCCACGGCUCAACCGUGGAGGGUCAUUGGAAACUGGAGGACUUGAGUACAGUAGAGGAAAGCGGAAUUCCACGUGUAGCGGUGAAAUGCGUAGAGAUGUGGAGGAACACCAGUGGCGAAGGCGGCUUUCUGGUCUGUAACUGACGCUGAGGCGCGAAAGCGUGGGGAGCAAACAGG
rnacentral:rRNA from 1 species